rnacentral:rRNA from 1 species
AGAGCGAACGCUGGCGGCAGGCUUAACACAUGCAAGUCGAGCGGGCGUAGCAAUACGUCAGCGGCAGACGGGUGAGUAACGCGUGGGAACAUACCUUUUGGUUCGGAACAACACAGGGAAACUUGUGCUAAUACCGGAUAAGCCCUUACGGGGAAAGAUUUAUCGCCGAAAGAUUGGCCCGCGUCUGAUUAGCUAGUUGGUGAGGUAACGGCUCACCAAGGCGACGAUCAGUAGCUGGUCUGAGAGGAUGAUCAGCCACAUUGGGACUGAGACACGGCCCAAACUCCUACGGGAGGCAGCAGUGGGGAAUAUUGGACAAUGGGCGCAAGCCUGAUCCAGCCAUGCCGCGUGAGUGAUGAAGGCCCUAGGGUUGUAAAGCUCUUUCGCCCGCGACGAUGAUGACGGUAGCGGGAGAAGACGCCCGGCUAACUUCGCGCCAGCAGCCGC